GGCUUCGUGGCUCACCUGGUAGAGCGCUUGCCAUGUUUAGGCGUGUUGUUUUUGUCGCUGGUUUGAAUGCAGCUGAAGCCC